AGGACGAACGCUGGCGGCGUGCUUAACACAUGCAAGUCGAACGGAAAGGCCCUUCGGGGUACUCGAGUGGCGAACGGGUGAGUAACACGUGGGUGAUCUGCCCUGCACUUUGGGAUAAGCCUGGGAAACUGGGUCUAAUACCGAAUAUGACCAUGGCGUGCAUGUGCUGUGGUGGAAAGCUUUUGCGGUGUGGGAUGGGCCCGCGGCCUAUCAGCUUGUUGGUGGGGUUAAGGCCUACCAAGGCGACGACGGGUAGCCGGCCUGAGAGGGUGUCCGGCCACACUGGGACUGAGAUACGGCCCAGACUCCUACGGGAGGCAGCAGUGGGGAAUAUUGCACAAUGGGCGCAAGCCUGAUGCAGCGACGCCGCGUGGGGGAUGACGGCCUUCGGGUUGUAAACCCCUUUCAGUAGGGACGAAGCGCAGUGACGGUACCUACAGAAGAAGCACCGGCCAACUACGUGCCAGCAGCCGC
rnacentral:rRNA from 1 species